rnacentral:rRNA from 1 species
CUUUCUUUGCUGGCGACCGGCGCACGGGUGAGUAACACGUAUCCAACCUGCCCUUUACUCGGGGAUAGCCUUUCGAAAGAAGGAUUAAUACCCGAUGGCAUAAUGAUUCCGCAUGGUUUCAUUAUUAAAGGAUUCCGGUAAAGGAUGGGGAUGCGUUCCAUUAGGUUGUUGGUGAGGUAACGGCCCACCAAGCCUUCGAUGGAUAGGGGUUCUGAGAGGAAGGUCCCCCACAUUGGAACUGAGACACGGUCCAA